CAGGAUGAGACAGCUUCUGCAACUGUGAGGAAGAUUUUUUCCUCACCGAUCAAGUUUGCAAACGUGGAAGCGUGGAGCUUGUCAAUCACCACAGGCCCAGGAUUUGCAAGAAUGAGCUGAGAAACAACAUGGGAACUUCUGCAUGGGUUAUAUACACAAAAAAGGUGGACAGGAUCACAGAUACCAAUGGAGCAAUUGCAGGUACCCAGAAGAACUUCUUGUUCUUUUUUCCCUGCUCAGCAGAACAUGAGAGAAUCAGAGAAAUAAUUCACAGCCUUAAACAGUUUAGGUAAAUAGUGCUAGUGAUUAGGAGCUCUUACUAUGUAUUUAGCGAAUAGAAGAAAACUCAAAAAGGUGCCUCCAAUAAGUAUAGUCUGCCAGUUCCACUGCAAAA